AGGUAGAGAAGUCGUUUAGUAAUCAGAAAGUUGCUAGUUCGAUUCCCUGUCGAAGCGUCCUUGAGCAAGACACUGAACCCCUAAUUGCUCCUGAUGUGCAGUGUGCCAUCAGUGUAAAUGUAAAAAAAAUGUGUAUACAUCCUUGUAAGUCGCUUUGGAUAAAAGCGUCUGCUAAAUGACUAAAUGUAAAUGUUAACAUAAAAACCUCCAAACAAACACAUGGAAUCCCUUAAGAAAAAUCUUUAUUGGUAUGCUUUGGUCCAUUGCUUUUACACGAUUAUGUCAAGAAUCCUCAAGAACAAAAAACCCAGUUCUCUGUGUGGGUCUUUUAACAUUGAGUCCGCAUGUGCACAGAGAUACUCAUCUUCACUGUCGAGUUCAUAGACUGAUUAACGGAAAUGACAUUGUUUGAAAUGACAGUCCUACUCUCAAAGUCAAGAUUACAAGUACUGAAAAAGCAAUUUGGGUGCAACAGUAAAGGUAAGUGUUAUUAAUUGUAAAACAGUUAACAGUUGAAAAAGCUCAUUAGUUUUGCUCUGCAGUUUAUUAUCGUCAAUCAACAAAAAUGAUAAAUGAAGACAUGAAUUGCAUAUUAAUCGCACCCUAAAAUCGCUUCAGUGUGGCAACUCAGUUCAGAUAAUUUAUUUUGAAAUCCCAGCAGCUGCAAUGGGAAACAAAAUCAAUAAUUUAUGCUUUCUGCAGAAAACACACAACAGAGUCCAGUUUUUUCCAAUAUAUUGAAGUUUUCACGAGUGCCUUGAAUACUAAUCCACUGGCACAUGAAAAGAACAGGAAGUGAGGUCAUGAGCCCCACAGACUUAGAUUGGGAUGUGGCACUGAACAAGAUAAUAUCACUUUUAAGGCACUGAAAACAUGUAUAGAUAAAUUCAGUACUCUUACAUUUAGGUAUUGGACCAAAUAAACACAAAUAUAAAAUGGUGCCGAUUAUACAACAAAAGUGGAGAAAGAACAUUCCUAAUUCUAAAUUGUUCAAAUAACCAUUCUCUAAAACAUUCAACAACAUAAUUUUUGUAAUAUGCUAAUAUGUGUUACAUUAUCAACUGUACCAACCCCACAACACAAAGAGAGUAUACAAGAAGUAACAUUUCAGUGAGGUUGUUGUCUCGAUAGACAUUGUAAACAAACAUGUGUGCCGUUGUUCAAGAUAAAUGCAAUUGCACACCACUUCCAUGGUAUUUUCUGUUUAAAAAAUAAUAUUGUUCACAUGAUCUUCAUUACUACUGAAUAACUUUUCAAGAAAAGCAACUAGCCAUUUCAGUUCAUUUGUGACAGACACAUGGAAUGACGACCCGUAGUCUUAACUUUAUAUCUCCUUGAGGUUUCCUUCAUUCUCCCUUCUUCUUCUUGUCAUUCAUUCAUUAAUGCAUUCAAAUAGUCCUGGGAGUUAAAUAUUUAUUGAAAUAUAGGAUUAGGAAUCGAACCGUGAGGGAAUUUAGCUUAAAUUUUACAUGGGGUCUAUUUCAGCUAACCAAGUUCAAAAUGUCUGCCUCUAGGUGUGUGAUUUUUUCGUCAAUAAUUGGUGAAGUUAUGCCUAGCGCAAAAGCGACGAGCACGAAUGCCACAUCACAGCUCUUUGAAUCAUUGAUGAUGACUGAAUCAAAAUGUUCAACUUGACCUGACAGAAUUCGUUUUUAAUUAAGCAGCGAAAAUGACCGUGAAGUAAACAAGAUGCAUAUGGAAUGUCUCUCUUGAAUGUACUUUUCUAACAAAGUCACUUGACUCUUACUGUGCAAAAAGACAAAUAUACCAGUGAACUAUGACAGAACACAAUGAUCUGUGUGUGUGGUUUUCCCUUUUUUUUUUAUCAUGCAGAUUAGCAGUUUUUCUAUCCAAUCAAAAGGUCAAUACUAUCGGUCAACACUAUAGCCAUUCAUUGACUCUCAACAACAACAACAACGUCAGGGAUGCUUAUUAAAAAAAAAAAGCAUGGAAGCACAAAAAACUUAGUGGCACAAAAAACUGCUACAAAAGUUAUGCUACCAGUCGAUGCCAAAGGCCACAGAAGACCUACGAUCCUGCUAGCUUUUAGAAGGUUCACACACACACACACACACACACACACACACGCGCACACACACACACACACACACACACACACACACACAAUGAUCCUGCUCGCUUUUAGAAGGUUCACACACACACACACACACACACACACACACACACACACACACACACACACACACACACACACACACACACACACACACAAUGAUCCUGCUAGCUUUUAGAAGGUUCACACACACACACACGCACACACACAUAUACACACACACACACACACACACACACACACACACACAAUGAUCCUGCUAGCUUUUAGAAGGUUCACACACACACACACACGCACACACACGCACACACACGCACACACACACACACACGCACACACACGCACACACACGCACACACACACACACACACACACACACACACACACACACAUAUACACACACACACACACACACACACACACACAAUGAUCCUGCUAGCUUUUAGAAGGUUUUCACUGCAUAAAAUGUACAAAAAUGCAGGCUGACUUUGGUACCAAAGGCCAGUGCCUAUGACACACUAAGCAUCACACAAUCCACCAAUCCACAAUCUCUCACAAUGAAAUGUUGACACAUUUGUUUUAAUGAUUAUCAAAUGCAUCUGCGUUGGGUAGAUCCUGUAUUUGGCAGACAAUCCCCCCCACCUAAGACCAUCUCUGGCUCCCGAUGCGAUCAAUACGCUACAUAUUCUGGAACAGUCUUAAGAGGAAAUACUGAUGAUGAAACUAAAGACUAAUGGCUUGAAUGUGCAAAAAAUGCCUCCCCUUUAAUGGCCAAUUCAGGGUUGGGGGGGGGAGUUAA
ensembl:lncRNA